UACGUAGGGGGCAAGCGUUGUCCGGACUUACUGGGCGUAAAGCGUGUGCAGGCGGGCCGCUAUGUGCCGUGUGAAAGCUCUCAGCUUAUCUGGGAGAGGUCGCGGUAGACAGGCAGCCUGGAGGCUCGGAGAGGUCAGUGGAAUUCUCGGUGUAGUGGUGGAAUGCGCAGAUAUCGGGAGGAACACCAGUGGCGAAGGCGACUACCUGGCCUGUUUCUUGACGCUGAGGCGCGAAAGCUAGGGGAGCAAACGGG
rnacentral:rRNA from 1 species